rnacentral:rRNA from 1 species
UCCGUAGGGAGCAAGCGUUGUCCGGAAUCAUUGGGCGUAAAGCGCGCGUAGGUGGCCAUGUAAGUCCGCUGUGAAAGUCAAAGGCUCAACCUUUGAAAGCCGGUGGAUACUGCAUGGCUAGAGUACGGAAGAGGCGAGUGGAAUUCCUGGUGUAGCGGUGGAAUGCGCAGAUAUCAGGAGGAACACCGAUGGCGAAGGCAGGUCUCUGGGCAUUAACUGACGCUGAGGAGCGAAAGCAUGGGGAGCGAACAGG